UACGUAGGGGGCGAGCGUUGUCCGGAUUUAUUGGGCGUAAAGGGUUCGCAGGCGGCCUUUUAAGUCAGAUGUGAAAUCCCAUAGCUCAACUAUAGUAAGCAUUUGAAACUGGAAGGCUUGAGUUAAGGAGAGGAAAGUGGAAUUCCUAGUGUAGCGGUGAAAUGCGUAGAUAUUAGGAGGAGUACCAGUGGCGAAGGCGACUUUCUGGACUUAUACUGACGCUGAGGAACGAAAGCGUGGGGAGCAAACAGGAUUAGAUACCCUGGUAGUCCCUGAG
rnacentral:rRNA from 1 species